rnacentral:rRNA from 1 species
CCUACGGGGGGCAGCAGUGGGGAAUAUUGCACAAUGGGGGAAACCCUGAUGCAGCAACGCAGCGUGAGCGAUGAAGGCCUUCGGGGCGUAAAGCUCUGUCCUAAGGGAAGAAUACUAACGGUACCUUAGGAGGAAGCCCCGGCUAACUACGGGCCGGGAGCCGCGGUAAUACGUAGGGGGCUAGCGUUAUCCGGAAUUACUGGGCGUAAAGGGUGAGGAGGCGGCCCUUCAAGUCAGAGGUGAAAGGCUACGGCUCAAACGUAGGAAGCCUUUGAAACUGUAGGGCUUGAGUGCAGGAGAGGGGAGUGGAAUUCCGAGUGUGGCGGUGAAAUGCGUGGAUAUUGGGGGGAACACCAGUUGCGAAGGCGGCUCUCUGGACUGUAACUGACGCUGAGGCACUAAAGCGUGGUGAGCGAACAGGAUUAGAUACCCUUGUAGUC